UCUAGGCCAGCCUGGGCUACAUAGCAAGGCCGCUCCUCCCUCCCCCGCCCUACACUCACAUACACAUACAUGGUGAGAUUUGAACGUGGGCUGGAGGUUAGAGCGGAAGCUAUUACACAAUGUGUGUCUACUAUACUGAUGGCAAUGAAUCAGAGGGAGAAGGGCAUGACGCAAGAAGACCAAGUGAGGAGCGGCAUUGCUGAGAAGCAAGAGGGAGCAGAGCAGAGACUACCUGAGGAAGGAGGG